GGGUCACACUCACACACAGCAUGUGUCUGUAUAGCGUUCAGGAGCGCCGUGGAUACGUGAAGCGGCGCAUGAUUGACAUCCAGAGACCACGCCCACAUGCAGCUGCUCAUGGCCUGUUUUCCAGUGAUGUCCUGUCUGAAUUCAGUAAUAAAGGGUAAAGAUAGUGCCAA